rnacentral:rRNA from 1 species
CUUGGGGAAUUUGCGCAUGGGCGAAGCCUGAUCCAGCCAUGCCGCGUGUGUGAUGAAGGUCUUCGGAUUGUAAAGCUCUUUUCUUUGGGACGAAGGGGGUCGGUCUCAUACGAUAUUGUCUUGACUGUUCCCAUCCAGGAAGCCCCGUUUAUAUCCGUGCCCCGCGCCGCGGAAAUCA